GACGAACGCUGGCGGCGUGCCUAACACAUGCAAGUCAGGGAUUGAAGGGUAGCAAUACUUUUCAAGACCGGCGCACGGGUGAGUAACACGUAGGUAAUCUACCCUUAGGCGGGGAACAACCCCGAGAAAUCGGGCGUAAUACCGCAUAAUGCAACGAGACCACAUGAUUUGUUGUUAAAGAUCCGCAAGGAUCACCAGAGGAUGAACCUGCGUCCGAUUAGCUAGUUGGCGGAGUAANAGCCCACCAAGGCGACGAUCGGUAGCCGACCUGAGAGGGUGAUCGGCCACACUGGAACUGAGAUACGGUCCAGACUCCUACGGGAGGCAGCAGUGAGGAAUAUUGGUCAAUGGCCGAAAGGCUGAACCAGCAACGCCGCGUGAGGGAUGAAGGUCUAAGGAUUGUAAACCUCUGUUAGGAGGGACGAAUAGUU
rnacentral:rRNA from 1 species